AAGAGUGGAGAUCUAGUCGAGUGUUUUGCUCUCAGUGAGGAGGAACAAGCAGUUUAUCACAUGCAGAGCGGAGAGUGCGGGUCUGGAUGUCGGGUUGGACCAGGUCCUGGAUGUAAGCUGGACCCCAUCCAUUCACAGCACGAUGGUCUUGGAGAAGAUAAAGUGUCCAACACAGGAUGACGACGAAGACAGUGACGUCUCUUUGGAGGAUACAUGUCGGACCACAAGAUUCCUUCGCUCAUUUAUUGAGAAUCAUCUGUCAGCAUCCUUGGGAAACUCCUACAGUUGUGGAUAGGAUGGAAUGUGCUCCCCAGACACCAGCUGGAUAUCAGCGUGGUGGAGAGCAACUUCUCCACUUCCUCCACCUGCUUCCACCAGCUGAAGCUUCCAGUACAAAGACUACUGCCACUCUGAAAUGGACCUUCUUGCUGCUACUUGUAGGACACUGUUUUUGGGUUGGUCUAAGGACUCUGUCCAUCAAGAUAACACUUUGUAUGUGCACUUUAGAGCUGCAAUGAAUAGUCAACUAAAUCGACUACGUCGAUUGUGAAAAAUUGUCGACGUGGAUUUUUAACGUCGCGCGUCAUAUAUUUUAUGUCAGAGCUGCCGGUAAUUUUCAUUCAGCAUUGCAAUGCACUACCGGAAGUGCAGGGGGCAGUAUGGCUUACAUUGUCUAUAUGCACCAAGGCAUAGACAUACUUACACCAAGGCAAAGAAGAAGAACGAUUUUGAAUCACGGCGGAACAGAGCUCGACCGAGAGCUUCAAAAGUCUGG
ensembl:lncRNA